ACAGCCCCGGGGAGGGCAGGGGGGACCCCAAAACAGCCCAGGGAGGGGCAGGGUGGUUUUAGGGGAUUUGGGACCUCCUAAGGAGGUCAGUUUAGGGCAUUUGGGGACCCCAUCAGGAGAGGGUUGGGGGACCCCCUAGGGAGGUCGGUUUUAGGGCAUUUGGGACCCCCCUAAAGAAGUUGGUUUUAGGGGAUUUGGGACCCCCCAAAAAAGAUGGUUUUAGGGGAUUUGGGACCCCCCUAAGGAGGUGGUUUUAGGGCAUUUGGGACCCCCUAAGGAGGUCGGUUUAGGGGAUUUGGGACCCCGCUAAGGAGGUCGAUUUUAGGGCAUUUGAGACCCCAUCAUGAGGUACUUUUAGGGCAUUUGGGACCCCCCCCAGGAGGUGAUUUGGGACCCCUCAGACAGUGGGGGGACACUCGGGGACCGAGGCCCGGCGCUGAGCUCUGCCAGCC